UAUCACACUUAAUAUACCAUUAAGCCUGCCCUAAACAUGAUAACUUGAUCUUAAAAUUUUUGUCUGACUGGAUUUGAUGAAUUGAUGUCUUCCAAUUUAAAGGUUAUGAAAAGCUUAUGGAAUAAGGGCACCUUUGUAAUCAAAUAGAUUUUAUUAAAGCCUGGUCUUUUAUGGUUUCAUUAUAGGUGUAUUUAAUUUCAUUGGCUAGAUGCCAAACUUGGAGUUUGAUGAGGAAAGUGACUGACAAAGCAUGCUUCAGCUUUUGUAAAACACAAAUGCUCGAUCACACACUUAGUGAUGCUUAGCUGGCAUGUGGAUGGGAUUGGAUAUCCAGCUUAUUUUAACUUGUCAUUAUAACACAGCAGUGGUUUAGUGGUUCCUGGUAAUCCCAUCGGAUACCUGUACAGACUUUAUAUGGUGAUAAUCCUGAAGUUAAUAUUGGUUUUCUUCAAGGAAUAUACUUUUGGUGUAUGAGCCAAUAUCAUCUCAAUUUCAAAGUUGAGGAAACAGAUCCAAAUAAGUUAAAUAUCUUGCUCCAACCAUACAGUAAGCAGGUGAGUCUGGCUGCAGAGUUUAUUGACUUCACUGCUGUGAUGCUUCUCUAGACCUGAGUAAGAUCCACAAAUCCCUAUGGGUCCAGCACAUGUACAUUAUCUGAAAGAGAAUUAUCCCAGUGAUUUUUCAAGGGGUUUGGAGCUGAUAUUAUGCAAAUCCCAAUAUAGAAUAUAAGUGAAACAUCCUGCCAGAAUAAGCAAAAUGUGUUUACAGUUCAAAUUACUAAUGGGUUAUGGGAGAAUCAAAGAGAGGAGUUAGAUUACAUUGUAGAAUGUGCCAGCAUAAAAGUGAGACAGAUGAACACUAAGACCUGGGUAAUACAUUUCUAGUAGUAAGGAGGAGACUGGAGAAUCAAUCUGGAAUUCUUCUAAAUUUUCAACUUGAGUUACUUGUGGAAUAUCUUCCCUGUGCCAUGAACUGAUCCAAAAUAAAGAUUCUGGGCUUCUUGAAGCAACCCAUUUAUCUAUCUUUAAAGUCAAUGAGUUUUCAUUAUUUUAUAGAAAAGACAAGACUGAGUUUUCUGAGGCAGGAAGAUGAGUGCAAAAUAUCUGAACUCAUUGGAGGUGUAAAGAAGAAAAUCAUACGCAUACAAGCACAACACUUAGAAAUUAUAUUUGUGCAUAUAUAUGUGUACCAUUUGACACAGUACCUCUCAUAUAGUACCUUGAAUUCUAUUUAAUGGUAUUUCAUCUUCCAAAACAAUAAUUAAACCCAGGCUUAAUAAUUUUAUUCUUUU